rnacentral:misc_RNA from 1 species
ACGGUAACAGGAAGAAGCUUGCUUCUUUGCUGACCAGUGGCGGACGGGUGAGUAAUGUCUGGGAAACUGCCUGAUGGAGGGGGAUAACUACUGGAAACGGUAGCUAAUACCGCAUAACGUCGCAAGACCAAAAAGGGGGACCUUCGGGCCUCUUGCCAUCGGAUGUGCCCAGAUGGGAUUAGCUAGUAGGUGGGGUAACGGCUCACCUAGGCGACGAUCCCUAGCUGGUCUGAGAGGAUGACCAGCCACACUGGAACUGAGACACGCUCCAGACUCCUACGGGAAGCAGCAGUGGG